rnacentral:tRNA from 1 species
UGGCUCAAUGGUUAAGAGCACUGACUGUUCUUCCAGAGGUUCUGGGUUCAAUUCCCAG